AUACGGAGGAUCCGAGCGUUAUCCGGAUUUAUUGGGUUUAAAGGGAGCGUAGGCGGACGCUUAAGUCAGUUGUGAAAGUUUGCGGCUCAACCGUAAAAUUGCAGUUGAUACUGGGUGUCUUGAGUACAGUAGAGGCAGGCGGAAUUUGAGGUGUAGCGGUGAAAUGCUUAGAUAUCACGAAUAACUCCGAUUGCGAAGGCAGCCUGCUGGACUGUAACUGACGCUGAUGCUCGAAAGUGUGGGUAUCAAACAGUAUUAGAUACCCUGGUAGUCCGCAGAGUAAACGAUGAAUACUCGCUGUUUGCGAUACACGGUAAGCGGCCAAGCGAAAGCGUUAAGUAUUCCACCUGGGGAGUACGCCGGCAACGGUGAAACUCAAAUGAAUUGACGGGG
rnacentral:rRNA from 1 species